UCGGUUCCCAUUUGCGCUGUCAGCUGCUCGAGGAGUCGCAAUAUUUUUGCCCUUCUUCCUCUACUCCUUCUUUCCGGCACAUGAUAGUCUAUCGCUACAAAGCAGCAAAACUUGGAUUUUUUUACAGUCAAAGGUAGUGUUUUGUAGCACGUACUCGAGGCAGCUCCUUAUCAAAAACCAUAGUGGUCGUUUUGGGGAGUACGCGGCAUUCGUUUAGCGAGAUACUACCGGAAGCAACCGUACAGCUUAGAUUGACGGCAACUGCAACGCUGCAAGCAGGGAGGAUGAAAGGAGAAAUGCACACACGCUUAUCAGUACCGUAAGGCAUACUUUCAAGAGCACGAGCGGAUGAGAUAACGGGCCUAACCGUUUGCUGCACAGUUAAACAUACCCGACAGCGCACUGUCGGUGCAAAAAAAGAAGAAACGCAAAAGUGUUUAAAUGCGACAAUAAAGCUGCUUGAGUACAUUCAUUCAAGAAUUAAUCGAUCGCA